rnacentral:rRNA from 1 species
AACGGGGGAUCACUUGCUCAUGGAUCGAUGAAGACCGCAGC